rnacentral:rRNA from 1 species
AGUGAACGCUGGCGGUAGGCCUAACACAUGCAAGUCGAACGGCAGCACAGUAAGAGCUUGCUCUUACGGGUGGCGAGUGGCGGACGGGUGAGGAAUACAUCGGAAUCUACUUUUUCGUGGGGGAUAACGUAGGGAAACUUACGCUAAUACCGCAUACGACCUACGGGUGAAAGCAGGGGAUCUUCGGACCUUGCGCGAUUGAAUGAGCCGAUGUCGGAUUAGCUAGUUGGCGGGGUAAAGGCCCACCAAGGCGACGAUCCGUAGCUGGUCUGAGAGGAUGACAGGCCAACUGGAACUGAGACACGGUCCAGACUCCUACGGGAGGCAGCAGUGGGGAAUAUUGGACAAUGGGCGCAAGCCUGAUCCAGCCAUACCGCGUGGGUGAAGAAGGCCUUCGGGUUGUAAAGCCCUUUUGUUGGGAAAGAAAAGCAGCAGGUUAAUACCCCGCUGUUCUGACGGUACCCAAAGAAUAAGCACCGGCUAACUUCGUG